UCAACUGACUUGAUGCUAUCUUAUUUUGUUCCUUUCACUCUAUAGACUGCUGGACAUCCUUCUUGUACCUUGGCGCUAGCUGGAUGACGGGACCUCAUCAUGAUCAGUGUAAACCAAUGUAUUGCUUGCCUAUGUCUACAAGAACCGUCACGCGUGGCCUGUGACAGCAAGCUUUUGUGGGCAGCAAGUGCUCUCCUACGAAGGCUGGCCUACUCUGGCAGCGGCGGCAAUCAUCUUCAAGAUUUAUCCAUAAUCACCUUUGCUGCUUUUUGUCACUCUUGUUGAUUACACUUUCUGCGUCUUUUCUAAUUUAUUAGGUAAUAAAGUAUGAGUAUGUGA
rnacentral:lncRNA from 1 species